GGCGGCGUGCUAUACAUGCAAGUCGAACGAGCUCUCCCAAAUUGAUUUUAUGCUUGCAUAAAUGAUUUUUGGAUUCGGAGCGAGUGGCGAACUGGUGAGUAACACGUGGGUAACCUGCCCCGAAGCGGGGGAUAACAUUUGGAAACAAGUGCUAAUACCGCAUAAUUAGUUGGAACCGCAUGGUUCCAACUUGAAAGAUGGCUCUGCUAUCACUUUGGGAUGGACCCGCGCCGUAUUAGUUAGUUGGUGAGAUAAAAGCCCACCAAGACGAUGAUACGUAGCCGACCUGAGAGGGUAAUCGGCCACAUUGGGACUGAGACACGGCCCAGACUCCUACGGGAGGCAGCAGUAGGGAAUCUUCCACAAUGGACGAAAGUCUGAUGGAGCAACGCCGCGUGAGUGAUGAAGGUUUUCGGAUCGUAAAACUCUGUUGUUAAAGAAGAACAAGUGUUAGAGUAACUGUUAACACUUUGACGGUAUUUAACCAGAAAGCCACGGCUAACUACGUGCCAGCAGCCGCGGUAAUACGUAGGUGGCAAGCGUUGUCCGGAUUUAUUGGGCGUAAAGGGAGCGCAGGCGGUUUUGUCAGUCUGCUGUGAAAGCCCUCAGCUCAACUGAGGAAGUGCAGUGGAAACUACAAAACUUGAGUACAGAAGAGGAAAGUGGAACUCCAUGUGUAGCGGUGAAAUGCGUAGAUAUAUGGAAGAACACCAGUGGCGAAGGCGGCUUUCUGGUCUGUUACUGACGCUGAGGCUCGAAAGCAUGGGUAGCGAACAGGAUUAGAUACCCUGGUAGUCCAUGCCGUAAACGAUGAAUACUAGGUGUUGGAGGGUUUCCGCCCUUCAGUGCCGCAGCUAACGCAUUAAGUAUUCCGCCUGGGGAGUACGACCGCAAGGUUGAAACUCAAAGGAAUUGACGGGGGCCCGCACAAGUGGUGGAGCAUGUGGUUUAAUUCGAUGCUACGCGAAGAACCUUACCAGCUCUUGACAUCUUCUGCCAACCCAAGAGAUUGGGCGUUCCCUUCGGGGACAGAUUGACAGGUGGUGCAUGGUUGUCGUCAGCUCGUGUCAUGACAUGUUGGGUUAAGUCCUGCAACGAGCGCAACCCUUAUUAU
rnacentral:rRNA from 1 species